rnacentral:rRNA from 1 species
AUUGAACGCUGGCGGCAUGCCUAACACAUGCAAGUCGAGCGAGCGGCGGACGGGUGAGUAAUGUCUGGGAAACUUCCUGAUGGAGGGGGAUAACUAAUGGAAACGGUAGCUAAUACCCAAUACUAUUAGAUGUGCCCAGGUGGUAUUAGCUAGUGGGUGGGGUAACGGCUCACCAAGUCAACGAUCCCUAGAUGGUCUGAGAGGAUGACCAGCCAAACUGGAAAUGAGACACGGUCCAGACUCCUACGGGAGGCAGCAGUAGGGAAUAUUUCACAAUGGGCGAAAGCCUGAUGCAGCAAUGCCGCGUGUGUGAGGAAGGCCUUCGGGUUGUAAAGCACUUGCAGCGGGGAGGCGUUACCCGCAGAAGAAGCACCGGCUAACUCCGUGCCAGCAGCCGCGGUAAUAC